UUUUUUUUUUCUUUUUUUCUUUUUUGAGGUUCUUAUGCUGAGAGGAAUAGUAACAAACAAACAUUUUUUAAUUAAAAAAAUUUUUUUUACGGCCACACCUGCAGCAUAUGGAAGUUCCUUGGCUAGGUGUGAAUUGGAGAUUUAGCUGCCGGCCUACACCACAGCCAUACAUGUUGGGUUCUUAAUCCGCUGAGCCACAAUGGAAAUUCUAACAAAUAUUUAUUGAAGGCAGUUUAUGUUCUAGAUACUGUUGUGUUUCAUGGAUGAGCUCCUUUAAUGCUCAGAGUCACCCUACCAGGCGAAGAUGGUUAGUUAGCUGGUGAAGAAGGUCUCUAAAGUCUCUUGCCCAAGACCUCAGUUAGACCUAGGAGGGAAAUCCAGACAGUGGAACCUCAGAAUUCAUAGUGUUUUGUUUUGUAUUGUAUUUUUACCACCAUGCUUUGCUGCUUCCCCUUGACAACAAGGUCAUUUUGGCAGGACAGCUUUGCUAGGUUCAAGGUCAUUCCAAAUGCAUCUCUAGAGCUAUGAUAUUGAUAGGGAUGGACUAGGAUGGUUACACAGAUAGUUGUAGGGUCCCAAUAGGGGACUGUAGCUAGAGAGGGAAACCUAGGGAACUUUGGGAAAUCACUAGAAGUUAAUAACAGCUCAAGAAAACCAUCAGAACAAGCAGGCUUGCUUAACUACAAAACCACAAAUACAAGCACAAGAUAUGCCUUAGGUGGUUGAAAUGAGGCCUGCAUUCAAGUUCAGCAAGACAAUGACCCUUAGGACAAAGGGCAGGAGUUUAAGGAGCACCCUUCUGGUGAUUUGAAUAAGCACCUGAUAGUUCUAGUUUGACCUAAGGGGUCAAAUACACCCUUACCAGAUACCAAGGAGGAGCUACUACUCUAAGAAAGAGGAAGAGGCAGUCUUUUCCCACGCCCACCCCCUUUGGAUGAUAAAACUGUAGCCCACCUAAUCCUCAGGGCAGAGGCUCCUUGCCUGCCCGCUUGCAUCUCUCACAAGUGUCCUAUCUUAAUAAAUCUAUUACUUUCCUAUCGCUUUGUUUCUCUCUGAAUUCCUUCUGUGCUGAGGCACAAAGAACCUGAAUCUCAGAGAGUCCAGACAACAGGUGAGUGAUUCUAAUUUAAAAACCAUGGUUUCAGAAUUCUCGUCGUGGCUCAGCGGAAACGAGUCUGACCAGCAUCCAUGAGGACUCAGGUUCAAUCCCUGACCUCGCUCAGUGGGUUAAGGAUCCAGCGUGGCAUGAGCUGUGGUGUUGCUCGCAGACGUGGCUCAGAUCCUGCGUUGCUGUGGUUGUGGCAUAGGCCAGUGGCUACAGCUCUGAGUCCCUAGCCUUGGAACCUCCAUAUGCCAUGGUUGUGGCCCUAAACACACACACACACACACACACACACACACACAUACACACACAAACAAAACCAUGGUUUCUGGUCCCAAUCUGGGUUUAGCCUGGGUUCGAGGCCCAGCAUGUGGGUUCAAGGCCCAAUCUGGGUUCUGGCUGGUUCAAGUCAUAAGUGUGGUCAGUUUCAAUACUGUACAAGUAGCCCAUUAAGAAAGCACAUGCAUUUGAGGCCAGCGAACACAGCACAAGCUGGCACAGGAGACAGGUUGGGUUUUCAGUUCAGUUUAACCAUGGAACGGCCCAGUUAAUAUGGGAAUUUAAUGAAGUCCUUGUCUCCGAGCAAUUAUUUAAUCUCCGUAUACUGCUGGAGAACCUUUUAUACACAAACCCUUGUAUCUAAUAACUCUUAGCAGAAUGGAUUUUCCUUCGUUAGCUGGGGUAGAUUAAGAAUGGAAUAGUACAUUCACUUUAAAGAGUCCUUCCAAAAGCUCUGGUAACAUCAUUCCCCCAAACGGUCCAUGCUGCCCUAAGCCAAGUUCUGACUAUGAGCUGCUAGGAAGUCGGUUAUUAGGAGUUUCAAGAUGUGGUAACUUGUGACCAGCACAGAUUUUUACAUUUUGUAACUCCAUUCAAGAAUGCAACACUUUCAUAGACUUUCCUUCUUUCUUUCUUUCUUCCUUUCUUUCUUUCUUUCUUCCUUCCUUUCUUUCUUUCUUUCGUGGUGCACCCACAACAUAUGGAGGUUCCCAGGCUAGGGGUGGAAUCGGAGCUAUAGCUGCCGGCCUACACUACAGCCACAGCAACACAGGAUCUGAGCCGCAUCUUCGACCUACACCACAGCUCACAGCAACGCCAGAUCCCUGACCCACUCAGAGAGGCCAGGGAUCAAACCCACAUCCUCAUGGAUAUUAGUCAGAUUUGUUUCCACUGUGCCACAGUCAGAACUCCUCAUAGAUGUUCUCUUAAUUGGUCUCUGUUAGGGGUUGAAUUUUGUCCUCUGAGAAUUCCUAUGUUGACUCCCUAGGCCCCAGGAUGUCAGAACAUGACCACAUUUGGCAAAGGGUCUUAGACGAAAUUAGCUAAGAUGGAGUCACACUGAAGUAGGGUGGGCCCCUAAUCCAAUAUGACUGUUGUCCUUAUAGAAAGGAGAAAUUUGGAGGCAUGUGCACAGGGGGACUCCAGGUGAAGACGAAGGCAGGGAGUCCCAUGAUUCAAUGGAAGCCAAGGAAUACAAGAGGCUGCUAGCAGUCCGCCAGAAGUUCGGAGGGAGGCUUGGAAUGGAUUUCUCCUUUACGACUCUCAGAAGGAACCAACCCCACCGAUGGUUUGAUCUCAGACUCCUCGUCUCCAGAGCUGAGACUGUAAGUUUGUGUUAUUUAAGCCACUCAAGUCCCUGCUACUCUGUGACGGCAGCCCUAGCAAAUUAAUAGUCUCAAAAUUAGUCUCCUAGAUAACACUAUUUCUCCCCAUUAUAUACAUCAUAAUCAACACUUAGUUUUAAAAAGCAUCAAGCACUUUAUAUGUACGAAUUCAAUAGUCAUAAUUCUCCUGUGAGGUGAGGGUUUGGAUUAUUCUCUCUGGUUUGGAGACAGAAACCAAGGCAAAGAAACCGGGGUCCCCCAGCCAAGAAAUGCCUGGAGCCGGGAUUUCAAAAGGUGUAUUCUUUUCAUGGUGCCAUGUUGCCUCCAUGAAAGGGAGACAGAUGCAUGGGAGAGCCAUGUGGAAAUGAAAUGACAAAGACGCAGACAUCAAAAAGGAAGUGGAAUUCAUGGGAGAUGUGUGGAUGGAGGCAAAUGACAGGAAGAUGAAAAUUUGGGGGCACAUUUCCCAAAGUACAUUUCGUGGAAAUUGUUGCAGGUCCAUACUCUGUAAAGAAGUGAUUCCAGGGUUACUCGAGUGGGAAAAAGGCUUCUCUCUCUAUCUCCUGCUCAUAGAUUCAAGACACCCACUAACAUUGCAGAGACUGAUGCAUUUUGUAGAAAAGUCUAAGUUUUAAUAACUUUGAGCUCGAUUUAACUUUGUUUAACCCAGCACUUUUCCAAUUUAUUUAAGUGUGGAAUGUUUCUGCUACUUUUUAUCUUUAAUGUUAUGGAGCAGGGGAGUUCCUGUCAUGGCUCAGUGGUUGACGAAUCCGACUAGGAACCAUGAGGUUGUGGGUUGGAUCCCUGGCCUUGCUCAGCGGAUUAAGGAUCCAGCGUUGCCAUGAGCUGUGGUGUAGGUUGCAGACGUGGCUUGGAUCCUGUGUUGCUGUGGCUGUGGUGUAGGCUGGAAGCUACAGCUCUGAUUCGACCCCUAGCCUGGGAAUGUCCAUAUGCCAAGGGUGCAGCCCUAAAAAGUUAAAAAAAAAAAAGUUACAGAACAAAUUCUAUGGGCCAGAGAAAGAAGCUAGAGCAAGGAGACCCAUGGAUGAGGGUAUCUAGGAGUUAAUGUCCUAACAUUAGCCAGAUUCUUCAUCCAGCGCAUCAACUUUUUCUCUUUCAAAGCAAGAUUCUUCAAUACUUACUUGUUUUUAAAAUUACACAUCAGACAUAAAAAGAGCAUAGAUGUUAUAAGUUAGAAUUGAAUUUAUCUACAUUUUCAUUAUGGUUUGUACCUUUUGUACAUUGUUUAAGAAAUCUCUCCUAAUGUUCAAGAGAUAUUCUCUUACAUUUUCUUCUAAAAGUGUUAAAGUUUUGCUUUUUACAUUUAGAUCUUUAAUAAGCUUGGAGUUGACUUUUUUGUGUAGUGAAGUAAGGGUCCACUUUUCCCCCAUUGGAUAGUAUAUUAUCAUAGCAGCAUUCGUUGACUAGUCUAUCUUUUUCCCUGUUGAGAAUCUUGAAUGCCACAUCUGUUAUGAUAUUCUAUUAUCAUUCAAAUCUCUUUUGGAUCAUAAUGUUAUAUCAUUAUUCCAUUUAUAUAUUUCUAUACCAAUAGCAUACUGAAUUAGUGACUAUAGAUUCAGAAAUUGAUUUCCGGUAUGGUAGGUUAAUUGAAUUGAGGGGUAUAAUUAAUGACAUUCUUAAUCUUAGCAAUGUAACUUGGCAACCCAUUGCAUCAAGAAGUUGAAAGUACUUCUCUACCCUUUGAAUCAGGGCUGGCCUUGAUACUUGCUUUGGCCAAACAAAUGCGGUAGAAGUGACAGUGUGCCAGUUCCAAAUAUAGGCCUCAAGAGACUCUGUAUGCUUAUACUCCCUCUUUUGGAAUUCUGCCCUCACUGAGAGAAUAAACUCAUGGCAGUGUGCUGAAGGAUAAGAGAACUUGAGAUACUGGAUAGAGUCAAUCCAAGCUGAGACCAUCAUAGACCAGCCAGUGCCCAGCCAAUUGGUCAGCUCCCCUUAACAAGUGAGCUUAGCCAAAACAGCCACACCUGGCUUGGAUCACCAAACUGCCCAGCCAGUGCAUUAACUUAUAAGCCAAAAUAGAUGCUUAUUGUGUUAUGCCACUGAGGUUUUAUAGCUGUAGGCUCCACAUCACAACUGAGACAUAUGCAGUGAUCUUGUUCUGUUAUUUAAAACCAUCUUGGUUGAUCAUAGCCUUAUGUGCUUCCCUAUAUAGAGUUUAGAAUUGAUUUCUCAAAUUCUAUGACCUGGUUUAAACCCUUUUAUACAUAACUCAAGUUCUAGGACAGCAUCCUUUGCAGCACAGAGUCUGUUCCAAGAUUUCAUCUUAGAUCAUCACCAAAGGUGAAUCCAACUGGACUAUUUGUUGCCCCAUUUCUGAUAAGUUGUUUGCUUAUUUGUAUUUGCUUUAUCAUAUUACAAUAUCAUUAGCAUAAGAUGGUGGUUCUGUUUCCAGGGCAACCAAAUGUGAUACAUGAGCUUUUAACUUUCACUAAAACCUCAACUAUCUUUGGCUACAUUCCAUAGGUUUUCUUGGCUCCCUUCAUUUCUGUGGUUGAAAGAAAGGAAGAUAGGCUACAAUGCUCUCAGUGUCUUAUAUUUUAUAUCUGUUUCCACCUCUACAUUCAUUAUCAGGUACAUCUAAAUUUACUAACCUAACUAAUUUCAUUUUACUAUUUGGCCUUGAUAGCUCCUCUUCUUUAGUAUAAUACUGCACAGUAUAUGUUCAACAUAUAUUUAAUGAUCACCUAUCAUGUUGCUGGACCUGAGGUCAUAAAAGUGAAUGAGACAAUUAUGGUCCAUAUCUUUCCACGUUAUCCUUCCAGGGUCUAACCAGGUUAGGGAGACAGGGAUAUAAUGGAUUAGCACAAAAUAUUUUACCAGUGUGGGAAGUGCCAUGAAAAACAAGUGCAGAUUGGUGGGUGGGGGCCAGAUCUAAUUUGCAUCAGCGAAUAUUUCUGGGGAGGAAUCCACUUUCAGCUUGGACUGGAAAAUAAGCUGGAGUUAGCCAGAAUUGGGGCAGGGCACAUCAGGCAGGAGUACAAUGUGUGAUGAAGCCUCGAAGGCUCAAGGAGGAUGAGGAGUUUGAAAGGAGGCCGGGUAGCCUCCUGUGGAUAUAGAAGACGAGCAUGUGGAAUGAGAGGAGCUUGGGAUGCACCUGGAGAAGUAGGAGGGGGCAAAAAUCACAGUGGACCUCAAGGGGAUCUGCACCACCUCUUAAGGAAUUGAAUUAUAAAACUUUGAAAUGGUGAAGUCAUCCAAGAGAAGAUUCCACCCCCCCGAUCCACCCCUCUGCCCCAGUCCAGAGCCACAUAUAACACAAGCAGUUUUAAAGAUGCAUGGUGUGUUCCCCGGUUCUCAGGGGAUGAGUCCCAGGCCACUUCAGGUCUAGGUCAGGCCACAUGGCUGGUAAGAUGAGGGGAGAUCCUCCUUUCCCAUCAUGGUUUUCUCUGGCGCUGUCCUCGCUCCAGGGAAAUCAGAAGUCAAGCCCAGAGGCUUGGUCCUGAAGCACCACUCACUCCAGGGCAUCACUCUGCCUGGAAGGUCUCCCUGGCACUUUAGCUACUGUAAUAGCUCUGGGCCCCAUGCAUAUCCAGUGGAUCCCUGAUGCAAGUGCCCACGUCUGGUAUAAGCGUAGAUACAUCUUUACAUGGAGAUGACUCAAUCUAGGAUCAGGUUUGGGGAAAACUUGGUUGUACUAUUCUCAGCUUUUGAUUUGUUUCUUAUCAGUUCUUAGUAUUUUCAUCCUCAGUUUUUUCUAUCAUGCCCUCCAAAUGUUCUUGUAUUCUAGUACCUCCACCAACACACAUAUGUUCAGGACAUAGAGUAUGUUGAAGAGGCCAUCUAAAUAUUGGUCCCAGGAUGUAGCCCAGUCAGGAGUUUUUAGAUCCCAGGUUUUAGAGCUGGGGUCCAUGACAAAGAUCCGUAUUCUCUAUUCACAUGCCACACAGACUGCUGCGAGUAGGCACGUUUAGUGGACAUUUGCGGGUUUAGCCUGUCCAGCAUCAUCUCCCCUCUCAGUCACAUCAGGACCCUGAUUUCCUUUUAGGACCUUGAUCCCCUCUGAGUAUCUCGAGCGCCUUCUCUCUUG
rnacentral:lncRNA from 1 species